UCCUGCCUUCCCAGGGCUGGCUGUGGAAGGAGGCACCAGCCGCUGCCAUCGGGCACGGCAGGCGAUGGGGGCUCCUGCUCUGCAAAGCUUGACCCAGAAAAAAAACCAAACCUAUGUGGAAGAGGUGGAAAGUCUCAGUGACCAAGGUAACCACGGAUCUUUCCUUGUGCAGAGACUCCUGAAGCACCUGGAGAGGGACCAGCAUUUUACACGUGUAACAGUAAACAAAGAGGGCAUUCCCUUCCUUUAGAUCAUGGAUCCACAGACUGUCACCAACAUCCCAAACUUCUUUUGUGUCUAAGCCAUAAAUAAACUCCAUUUGCCUACAGAGGGCACUUCAGUGCUUAAGGGCUUGGCAGGAAAUAUUCUGGGACUGAAAACAUGACUUAAGACCUGCCAGACAUUUGGAAGGACACACUAGCUCUCAAAUGCUUAGCACAUACUUACAUGGCCCACUCCAGUUUCUCAUUCUUGAUGGAGUUAUACAGUGUCUGAAACAAGAACAUGGAAUUAGCUGUGUCUCUCAUGGAAGUCAUGUCUGGCUGUCAGAUCAUCUCCUCCUCCACAUUCUGCCUGUGUUCCUGGAGAGAUCCAUUCCCUGCUGAACUGUCCCGGAGAGGCAUUCACCAAUGACCAGGACAACUGCUGUCCUGCCAGAGCCCUUUUUAUCUGUGUGCCACGCUGGGUAUUGGACUGGGCACGUCAGCAGCAGGGGGGUCUGGCAGCCAACCUUGCUCAGGAGCCUGUAUAUGACAUUUUUGACUCAUUCUGGGUGUUGCACCUAGUCCUGAAUGAAUCCUGGCCUACACAAGAUGCUAGAAGACUCAGGGAUGUGCCACCACACCUUUGAUGUCUUCACUAGGGGAAAGGAAAGGGGAGGCUUGAACUGAGUAGCAGGGGAGAUAUGAGUGACCUUGGGAUCAGCUUUUCCAGUUCCUCCUGUGCAGAAUUCCAGUGGUUUCCCUGGGGCACUGGAAAAGAAGCAGGAAUGGGCUAGGAAAGCAGAAUGUGGAGGUGGCCCUGACCACAUGGAGGGGUGGGAUAGGGUGAAAAUACUCACUUUGGGUUGUUUAAGCAAUAUCCCAUGGUACUGCACUAGCUGUGUUGGAACACUGCAUCUAAUUACAUGGAAGUGAAGUAUCA